rnacentral:rRNA from 1 species
CUGGCUCAGAUUGAACGCUGGCGGCAGGCCUAACACAUGCAAGUCGAGCGGUAGAGAGGUGCUUGCACCUCUUGAGAGCGGCGGACGGGUGAGUAAUGCCUAGGAAUCUGCCUGGUAGUGGGGGAUAACGCUCGGAAACGGACGCUAAUACCGCAUACGUCCUACGGGAGAAAGCAGGGGACCUUCGGGCCUUGCGCUAUCAGAUGAGCCUAGGUCGGAUUAGCUAGUUGGUGGGGUAAUGGCUCACCAAGGCGACGAUCCGUAACUGGUCUGAGAGGAUGAUCAGUCACACUGGAACUGAGACACGGUCCAGACUCCUACGGGAGGCAGCAGUGGGGAAUAUUGGACAAUGGGCGAAAGCCUGAUCCAGCCAUGCCGCGUGUGUGAAGAAGGUCUUCGGAUUGUAAAGCACUUUAAGUUGGGA